rnacentral:rRNA from 1 species
GACGAACGCUGGCGGCGUGCUUAACACAUGCAAGUCGAACGGAAAGGCCCUGCUUUGGUGGGGUGCUCGAGUGGCGAACGGGUGAGUAACACGUGAGUAACCUGCCCUUGACUUUGGGAUAACUUCAGGAAACUGGGGCUAAUACCGGAUAGGGGCUCCUGCUGCAUGGUGGGGGUUGGAAAGUUUCGGCGGUUGGGGAUGGACUCGCGGCUUAUCAGCUUGUUGGUGGGGUAGUGGCUUACCAAGGCUUUGACGGGUAGCCGGCCUGAGAGGGUGACCGGCCACAUUGGGACUGAGAUACGGCCCAGACUCCUACGGGAGGCAGCAGUGGGGAAUAUUGCACAAUGGGCGGAAGCCUGAUGCAGCAACGCCGCGUGCGGGAUGACGGCCUUCGGGUUGUAAACCGCUUUCGCCUGUGACGAAGCGUGAGUGACGGUAAUGGGUAAAGAAGCACCGGCUAACUACGUG